CACGUAGGCGGCUUGGUAAGUCAGAUGUGAAAGCCCGGGGCUUAACCUCGGAAGUGCAUUUGAUACUGUCAGGCUUGAGUAUGGGAGAGGGAAGUGGAAUUCCUGGUGUAGAGGUGAAAUUCGUAGAUAUCAGGAGGAACACCGGUGGCGAAGGCGACUUCCUGGACCAAUACUGACGCUGAGGUGCGAAGGCGUGGGUAGCAAACA
rnacentral:rRNA from 1 species